rnacentral:rRNA from 1 species
GUGGGGAAUAUUGGGCAAUGGGGGAAACCCUGACCCAGCAACGCCGCGUGAGGGAAGAAGGUUUUCGGAUUGUAAACCUCUGUCCUUGGUGACGAAGGAAGUGACGGUAACCAAGGAGGAAGCCCCGGCUAACUACGUGCCAGCAGCCGCGGUAAUACGUAGGGGGCAAGCGUUGUCCGGAAUGACUGGGCGUAAAGGGCGUGUAGGCGGCCGAUUAAGUCUGGAGUGAAAGUCCUGUUUUCAAGGUGGGAAUUGCUUUGGAGACUGGAUGGCUUGAGUGCGGAAGAGGUAAGUGGAAUUCCCAGUGUAGCGGUGAAAUGCGUAGAGAUUGGGAGGAACACCAGUGGCGAAGGCGACUUACUGGGCCGUAACUGACGUUGAAGCGCGAAAGCGUGGGGAGCGAACAGGAUUAGAUACCCCAGUAGUCC